GAUGAACGCUAGCGGCAGGCUUAAUACAUGCAAGUCGAGGGGUAGCAAGAUUGUAGCAAUACAAUUGUUGACGACCGGCAAACGGGUGCGGAACACGUACACAACCUUCCUACAAGUGGGGAAUAGCCCAGAGAAAUUUGGAUUAAUACCCCGUAACAUAGCGAUGUGGCAUCACAUUGCUAUUAUAGCUUCGGCGCUUGUUGAUGGGUGUGCGGCUGAUUAGAUAGUUGGCGGGGUAACGGCCCACCAAGUCUACGAUCAGUAGCUGAUGUGAGAGCAUGAUCAGCCACACGGGCACUGAGACACGGGCCCGACUCCUACGGGAGCAGCAGUAAGGAAUAUUGGACAAUGGACGCAAGUCUGAUCCAGCCAUGCCGCGUGAAGGAUUAAGGUCCUCUGGAUUGUAAACUUCUUUUAUAAGGGACGAAAAAAGGUCUUUCUAGAUCGUCUGACGGUACCUUAUGAAUAAGCACCGGCUAACUCCGUGCCAGCCGCCGCCGUAAGAC
rnacentral:rRNA from 1 species